UACACUUCUUCCAAGAGGUCCUUGUUGAUUCAGCCCAGGUUGCUGGCAAGGAUGACCGGAUGCAUUCCUGUUACCUGCAGUGGCUGUCUUGGUGGUGGGCUAUGCAGACUGUGUCAGCAAGAGAGCAGCAAGGGAUGGCAACAGAAAAAAGUGGUCUUAGUCUGCCACGGAAUGGGAUCCAUUUGCUGCCAGGAGGAUACCUGAUACAUAGUCUGAUUACCAGGAGAUACAAGCGCCUGAUUCUUCACAGCUUGGAAGUGGAUACAGCUAUUUGCAUAGAUUAUUCCUGGUCCAGCACAGGUCCCUGCCUGAAUGCAGAAUGAGAGUCUUUCCURCCAUGGAAAGUUCCUCUGUGUUUGCCCAGGAAAGAUGUCUGGGGCUUUGAAGCUGCUUUGAUGGAGGUGUUUUCAAAGAGAAUGAUAGCAGAAGGCAUUUUCCCCAUGGCGAAGGCACCUGUUUGUAACCUCUAACCUAGGCAUCUGGGAAGGUUUAAACUGAAAGGAAAGAGACAGCAGGUAUUAUUUACUUCUGUUCAUUUUUUGCUCCUUUGUGUAUUCAGUUCAAAUUGAAAUUUGUAUAUAUAAUGCCAGAAUGAGAGAUUAGAUCCUUCUCUGCACUCAAGAGAAGAGCUUUUUAUUUGGGUAGAAUCUUUACCAAAAGAUUUUCUUAUUGCUCAACAUGAAACUUUGGGAUGAUUCACUGAUGGAAAGCCUUUAACAUCCAGAGAAUCACAGAAUAAUUCAGAUUGGACCUCAGAAGGUCUCUAGUCUAUCUCCCUGCCCAAAGAGGGGCCAGCUCUGGGGUCAGACCAAGCUGCUCAGGGCUGGGUCUAGGUGGGUCUUGAAAGCCUCUGAGGAUAGAGACAGCACAGCCUCGUGGGGCAUCUGCUCCACUGCCUGACAGUUCUCAUGGGGAAAAAGUUUCUCUUGUUGCAACUUGUGCCCAUUGUUUCUCGCCCUCCUGCCAUGCCCUGCUGUGAGGAG
rnacentral:lncRNA from 1 species